rnacentral:rRNA from 1 species
GACGAACGCUGGCGGCGUGCCUAAUACAUGCAAGUAGGACGCACAGUCUAUACCGUAGCUUGCUACACCAUAGGCUGUGAGUUGCGAACGGGUGAGUAACGCGUAGGUAACCUGCCUAUUAGAGGGGGAUAACUAUUGGAAACGAUAGCUAAUACCGCAUAACAGUAUGUAACACAUGUUAGAUGCUUGAAAGAUGCAAUUGCAUCGCUAGUAGAUGGACCUGCGUUGUAUUAGCUAGUAGGUAGGGUAAUGGCCUACCUAGGCGACGAUACAUAGCCGACCUGAGAGGGUGAUCGGCCACACUGGGACUGAGACACGGCCCAGACUCCUACGGGAGGCAGCAGUAGGGAAUCUUCGGCAAUGGGGGGAACCCUGACCGAGCAACGCCGCGUGAGUGAAGAAGGUUUUCGGAUCGUAAAGCUCUGUUGUUAAGGAAGAACGAGUGUGAGAAUGGAAAGUUCAUACUGUGACGGUACUUAACCAGAAAGGGACGGCUAACUACGU